AAACAAUGUAGAAAAUUUCAUAUAUAUCACACCAAAAAUUAACUACAAAUUCCCUCUAGUUCUUCUUGUCUUAAUUAAAUUAUCUAAGGGCCAAAAAUAAAAAAAGGUAUAUAAAUUAUGAGGUUCAUUAUGGUGUUUUAUUUAGUGAUGUUGGUGAUGACAACGACUUCUAGCUUUGCUACGAGCAGGAACCUAAUCGAGAAUAAUAAAGUCGAUAGUAAGGUUUUCUCGCAAGAAGGAAGUAAAAGUGUCGAUAAUCAUCAUUAUAUACCCAGGCAAGAAUUCAACAAUGGUGACGGGGGUGUAAACCCUAUAGGAACGAGGACUUGAUCAUAUAAACUGAAUUCUGCUGAACUCGUAACUAAUAUAACAAGAUCUUGGCCAAAGCUAAUAGCUUAUAAUUAAUGUAUAUAUAUAUGUGUGCGCGCUUGCAUGUUGCUAUGAGUAUUUUAAUUAAGUGGUACGUAAAUAGAAAUAAUAAUAGUAAACCUUCAUAGUUUUACGUUGUAACAACGUAUAUCGACUUUAAUAAUGUUGUAUUGGAAAGUGUGUGUGUAAUUUUUAUGUUGAAGCUUUGUUUUUUUAAUAUAUAUAUAAAAGAAGGUUGGGAUCUAUUUAGCAUC